rnacentral:rRNA from 1 species
UACGGGGGGGGCAAGCGUUGUCCGGAUUUACUGGGCGUAAAGAGCGCGCAGGCGGUCGUUCAAGUCGAGUGUGAAAGCCCCCGGCUCAACUGGGGAGGGUCACUCGAUACUGAUCGACUCGAAGGCAGGAGAGGGAAGCGGAAUUCCUGGUGUAGCGGUGAAAUGCGCAGAUAUCAGGAGGAACACCGAUGGCGAAGGCAGCUCGCUGGGACGGUACUGACGCUGAGGCGCGAAAGCGUGGGUAGCGAACAGG